rnacentral:rRNA from 1 species
GACGAACGCUGGCGGCGUGCUUAACACAUGCAAGUCGAACGGAAAGGCCCUGCUUGCAGGGUGCUCGAGUGGCGAACGGGUGAGUAACACGUGGGUGAUCUGCCCCUUACUUUGGGAUAAGCCUGGGAAACUGGGUCUAAUACUGGAUAGGACCAUGCUGUAGGUGGUGUGGUGGAAAGAUUAGUUUCGGUAAGGGAUGAGCUCGCGGCCUAUCAGCUUGUUGGUGGGGUAAUGGCCUACCAAGGCGUCGACGGGUAGCCGGCCUGAGAGGGUGGACGGCCACAUUGGGACUGAGAGACGGCCCAGACUCCUACGGGAGGCAGCAGUGGGGAAUAUGGCACAAUGGGCGCAAGCCUGAUGCAGCGACGCCGCGUGGGGGAUGACGGCCUUCGGGUUGUAAACUCCUUUCAGCCAUGACGAAGCCCUUGUGGUGACGGUAGUGGUAGAAGAAGCACCGGCUAACUACGUG